GACGAACGCUGGCGGCGUGCUUAACACAUGCAAGUCGAACGGAAAGGCCCUGCUUUUGUGGGGUGCUCGAGUGGCGAACGGGUGAGUAACACGUGAGUAACCUGCCCUUGACUUUGGGAUAACUUCAGGAAACUGGGGCUAAUACCGGAUAGGAGCUCCUGCUGCAUGGUGGGGGUUGGAAAGUUUCGGCGGUUGGGGAUGGACUCGCGGCUUAUCAGCUUGUUGGUGGGGGAGUGGCUUACCAAGGCUUUGACGGGUAGCCGGCCUGAGAGGGUGACCGGCCACAUUGGGACUGAGAUACGGCCCAGACUCCUACGGGAGGCAGCAGUGGGGAAUAUUGCACAAUGGGCGGAAGCCUGAUGCAGCAACGCCGCGUGCGGGAGGACGGCCUUCGGGUUGUAAACCGCUUUCGCCUGUGACGAAGCGUGAGUGACGGUAAUGGGUAAAGAAGCACCGGCUAACUACGUG
rnacentral:rRNA from 1 species